AUUGAACGCUGGCGGCAGGCCUAACACAUGCAAGUCGAGCGCGCGUCGCACGCGUGAGUAAUGUAUGGGGACUGUCCGUUAUAGGGGGAUAACUCCUGGAAACGGUAUCUCAUACCGCAUACUCUCUGAUUAUCCAUAUGGGAUUAGCUAGUGGGUGUGGUAAUGGCUCACCUAGGCGACGAUCCCUAGCUGGUCUGAGAGGAUGAUCAGCCACACUGGGACUGAGACACGGCCCAGACUCCUACGGAGGCAGCAGUGGGGAAUAUUGCACAAUGGGCGCAAGCCUGAUGCAGCCAUGCCGCGUGUAUGAAGAAGGCCCUAGGGUUGUAAAGUACUUUCAGUCGGGAGGCGUUACCGACAGAAGAAGCACCGGCUAACUCCGUGCCAGCAGCCGCGGUAAUAC
rnacentral:rRNA from 1 species